rnacentral:rRNA from 1 species
UACGGGGGGGGUAAGCGUUGUUCGGAAUUACUGGGCGUAAAGGGCUCGUAGGCGGCCAACUAAGUCAGACGUGAAAUCCCUCAGCUUAACUGGGGAACUGCGUCUGAUACUGGAUGGCUUGGAUCCGGAAGAGGGAUGCGGAAUUCCAGGUGUAGCGGUGAAAUGCGUAGAGAUGCGGAGGAACACCGGUGGCGAAGGCGACCAUCUGGACGGAUACUGACGCUGAGACGCGAAAGCGUGGGUAGCAAACAGG